GGGAGAUAUAAACUGUAAUAUAGAAGGCUGAUCCGCCAUUUUCAAAAACCCCACCCCUACGUCGAUCUUCUUCAUUUUUAACCCUUCAUCCAUUUCCUUCUUUUUCAACGAAAGACAAGACAAAAAACUGAAGACCCCGAUCUCCAUCUCUGUUACUCACUGCCGCCGGCCACUUCAAGUUCGCCAGAGAAGGCCAUCGCUGACCACCCUUGCACCACAAAACCGCCGACUCUCACCCCAUCUCACCUCCUAAAACUCCAGCGGCUCUCCACCAACCAAAACCAGCCGUCACCUAUUCAAACUCACCAAAGCAGCCAUCACCAGAAACCAGCCUCCCACCAGCUGCCGCCUCUCUAUCACCGGACUCCACUCCUCUUUCCACUUUCAUCUUCUACACAAAGAAUAUUCCUCCCCUCCAUUGUUACGCUAUUUAAGGUUGUUCGAGUUGCGCUCGAUUCUAGUUAAAAGGUGAGGUAGCCGGUCAAGCUUUACAACGAAGUUUUUGUUCUUGGCUCGAGGUUCCGAUCUUGUGUGAUUUCAGUCGAGGUUUUCCGGUCAAUUUCUGGCCUCGGUUCCUAUUCAGGCACUGUUACUGUAUUCGAAAAGGCAAUCACCGUGAGGUAUGAAUUAGUGUACCAGAGCUCGAGCAUGACAAAUACCCCAGGACCACUACAUUUAGGAGUUGCUUAUAGAUACUUUUAUGUUUUGAGUUUGUCAUUCAUGUUGUCUUUUACUUUCUGGUCUUGUACAGUAAUAUCGAGUCUUUUGUUAUAUUACUUCCCAUUUUGUAUUUAAAAAACCAAAAAAAAAAUUAAAUGAAAAAUCCCAAAAAGAUUUUUGUUUCUUA